UAAGUUAUUAAGGGCGCACGGUGGAUGCCUUGGCACUAGAAGCCGAUGAAGGACGUUACUAACGACGAUAUGCUUUGGGGAGCUGUAAGUAAGCUUUGAUCCUAGAGAUUUCCGAAUGGGGAAACCCAGCAUGAGUUAUGUCAUGUUAUCGAUAUGUGAAUACAUAGCAUAUCAGAAGGCACACCCGGAGAACUGAAACAUCUUAGUACCCGGAGGAAGAGAAAGAAAAUUCGAUUCCCUUAGUAGCGGCGAGCGAAACGGGAAGAGCCCAAACCAACAAGCUUGCUUGUUGGGGUUGUAGGACACUCUAUACGGAGUUACAAAGGACGACAUUAGACGAAUCAUCUGGAAAGAUGAAUCAAAGAAGGUAAUAAUCCUGUAGUCGAAAAUGUUGUCUCUCUUGAGUGGCUCCUGAGUACGACGGAGCACGUGAAAUUCCGUCGGAAUCUGGGAGGACCAUCUCCUAAGGCUAAAUACUCUCUAGUGACCGAUAGUGAACCAGUACCGUGAGGGAAAGGUGAAAAGCACCCCGGAAGGGGAGUGAAAUAGAACCUGAAACCGUGUGCUUACAAGUAGUCAGAGCCCGUUAAUGGGUGAUGGCGUGCCUUUUGUAGAAUGAACCGGCGAGUUACGAUUUGAUGCAAGGUUAAGCAGUAAAUGUGGAGCCGUAGCGAAAGCGAGUCUGAAUAGGGCGUUUAGUAUUUGGUCGUAGACCCGAAACCAGGUGAUCUACCCUUGGUCAGGUUGAAGUUCAGGUAACACUGAAUGGAGGACCGAACCGACUUACGUUGAAAAGUGAGCGGAUGAACUGAGGGUAGCGGAGAAAUUCCAAUCGAACCUGGAGAUAGCUGGUUCUCUCCGAAAUAGCUUUAGGGCUAGCCUCAAGUGAUGAUUAUUGGAGGUAGAGCACUGUUUGGACGAGGGGCCCCUCUCGGGUUACCGAAUUCAGACAAACUCCGAAUGCCAAUUAAUUUAACUUGGGAGUCAGAACAUGGGUGAUAAGGUCCGUGUUCGAAAGGGAAACAGCCCAGACCACCAGCUAAGGUCCCAAAAUAUAUGUUAAGUGGAAAAGGAUGUGGCGUUGCCCAGACAACUAGGAUGUUGGCUUAGAAGCAGCCAUCAUUUAAAGAGUGCGUAAUAGCUCACUAGUCGAGUGACACUGCGCCGAAAAUGUACCGGGGCUAAACAUAUUACCGAAGCUGUGGAUUGUCCUUUGGACAAUGGUAGGAGAGCGUUCUAAGGGCGUUGAAGCAUGAUCGUAAGGACAUGUGGAGCGCUUAGAAGUGAGAAUGCCGGUGUGAGUAGCGAAAGACGGGUGAGAAUCCCGUCCACCGAUUGACUAAGGUUUCCAGAGGAAGGCUCGUCCGCUCUGGGUUAGUCGGGUCCUAAGCUGAGGCCGACAGGCGUAGGCGAUGGAUAACAGGUUGAUAUUCCUGUACCACCUAUAAUCGUUUUAAUCGAUGGGGGGACGCAGUAGGAUAGGCGAAGCGUGCGAUUGGAUUGCACGUCUAAGCAGUAAGGCUGAGUAUUAGGCAAAUCCGGUACUCGUUAAGGCUGAGCUGUGAUGGGGAGAAGACAUUGUGUCUUCGAGUCGUUGAUUUCACACUGCCGAGAAAAGCCUCUAGAUAGAAAAUAGGUGCCCGUACCGCAAACCGACACAGGUAGUCAAGAUGAGAAUUCUAAGGUGAGCGAGCGAACUCUCGUUAAGGAACUCGGCAAAAUGACCCCGUAACUUCGGGAGAAGGGGUGCUCUUUAGGGUUAACGCCCAGAAGAGCCGCAGUGAAUAGGCCCAAGCGACUGUUUAUCAAAAACACAGGUCUCUGCUAAACCGUAAGGUGAUGUAUAGGGGCUGACGCCUGCCCGGUGCUGGAAGGUUAAGAGGAGUGGUUAGCUUCUGCGAAGCUACGAAUCGAAGCCCCAGUAAACGGCGGCCGUAACUAUAACGGUCCUAAGGUAGCGAAAUUCCUUGUCGGGUAAGUUCCGACCCGCACGAAAGGCGUAACGAUUUGGGCACUGUCUCAACGAGAGACUCGGUGAAAUCAUAGUACCUGUGAAGAUGCAGGUUACCCGCGACAGGACGGAAAGACCCCGUGGAGCUUUACUGUAGCCUGAUAUUGAAAUUCGGCACAGCUUGUACAGGAUAGGUAGGAGCCUUUGAAACGUGAGCGCUAGCUUACGUGGAGGCGCUGGUGGGAUACUACCCUAGCUGUGUUGGCUUUCUAACCCGCACCACUUAUCGUGGUGGGAGACAGUGUCAGGCGGGCAGUUUGACUGGGGCGGUCGCCUCCUAAAAGGUAACGGAGGCGCUCAAAGGUUCCCUCAGAAUGGUUGGAAAUCAUUCAUAGAGUGUAAAGGCAUAAGGGAGCUUGACUGCGAGACCUACAAGUCGAGCAGGGUCGAAAGACGGACUUAGUGAUCCGGUGGUUCCGCAUGGAAGGGCCAUCGCUCAACGGAUAAAAGCUACCCCGGGGAUAACAGGCUUAUCUCCCCCAAGAGUUCACAUCGACGGGGAGGUUUGGCACCUCGAUGUCGGCUCAUCGCAUCCUGGGGCUGUAGUCGGUCCCAAGGGUUGGGCUGUUCGCCCAUUAAAGCGGUACGCGAGCUGGGUUCAGAACGUCGUGAGACAGUUCGGUCCCUAUCCGUCGUGGGCGUAGGAAAUUUGAGAGGAGCUGUCCUUAGUACGAGAGGACCGGGAUGGACAUACCUCUGGUGUACCAGUUGUCGUGCCAACGGCAUAGCUGGGUAGCUAUGUGUGGACGGGAUAAGUGCUGAAAGCAUCUAAGCAUGAAGCCCCCCUCAAGAUGAGAUUUCCCAACUUCGGUUAUAAGAUCCCUCAAAGAUGAUGAGGUUAAUAGGUUCGAGGUGGAAGCAUGGUGACAUGUGGAGCUGACGAAUACUAAUCGAUCGAAGACUUAAUCA
rnacentral:rRNA from 1 species